GCGAGGGUUGCCAAGCCCGGUCAACGGCGCCGCAUUUAGGGUGCGGUCUCAAGGAGUUCAUGGGUUCGAAUCCCAUCCCUCGCA
rnacentral:tRNA from 1 species